GACGGAAGGUGCAAGCGUUGCUCGGAAUCACUGGGCGUAAAGGGCGCGUAGGCGGCGGGUCAAGUCGAGUGUGAAAGCCCCGGGCUCAACCUGGGAAUUGCGCUCGAGACUGGUCUGCUUGAGUUCGGGAGAGGAGAGUGGAAUUCCCAGUGUAGAGGUGAAAUUCGUAGAUAUUGGGAAGAACACCGGUGGCGAAGGCGGCUCUCUGGACCGAGACUGACGCUGAGGCGCGAAAGCGUGGGGAGCAAACAGG
rnacentral:rRNA from 1 species